AUGUUCCGUCUGAUACCUGGAUGUGGGGGCUGAUCGGGGCAGCUCUACGUUUUUCCGGCGAAGUUCGACUAAAGAACGGCGUUUCAGUCGUUGAUUUUACCUGAGAAUCAUUUCUAUUCGACCGCGGGUAUUUUUCAUAGGUUUUGGACUCGAAUCCGAGAUUAUAACUCCUGUAGUCUUUCUGUUCCUCACCCCAGGUUCAGGUGCGGAGCUCCGGCGAGAAAUCCAACGAGCUUGGGGUUCCAUGAGCUCAAAUUGGUUCCGUUUGAAACUCAGAAUCCGGCAAGGAAAAUCCGGCGAGUUCAUGUUGAAUCUGAGGUGAAUUCAACGUCUUCUUUUCCUAAAAAGGUUGUAGUUUCCGGCGAAGUUCUGGCGAAGCUCCAGCAACGGUGACGACCACCGGCGGAGGCUAAUAUUCCGUUAACUUUAACGGAAUCUCGUACGGAAGGUACGUUGGUGGGAAGUGGUACCAUCCUCGCUAGUUGAGCGACUCCUUGGCAAUCAAAUAUAUGUCGAUCUGUUAUACUAAGGUGCGUACAUGGCAUUGCAAUCCUUUAUCAAGAUGUCUAGAAAACAACAGAAGUCACAGUCUUGCUUCACAAUCUGAAUGGUAAGUCAAUGAUAUAUCUAGAUUAAGCUUCAGAUCGAUAUGUAGUCUGUAACAUGAAAACAUUUAAGUUGAGUCUCGUUUG
rnacentral:sRNA from 1 species